UCCUUAGAUGUCCUGGGCCGCACGCGCGUUACACUGAUGCAUUCAACGAGCUUAUAACCUUGGCCGAGAGGCCUGGGCAAUCUUGUUAACGUGCAUCGUGAUAGGGAUAGAUUAUUGAAAUUAUUAAUCUUGAACGAGGAAUUCCUAGUAAACGCAGAUCAUCAAUCUGCAUUGAUUACGUCCCUGCCCUUUGUACACACCGCCCGUCGCUCCUACCGAUUGAGUGGUCCGGUGAGGCUUUGGGAUCUGAGCGGAAAGAGCGUUUCGCUGUUUCUGCUCGGAAAACUCAGUCGAACCUUAUCAUUUAGAGGAAGGAGAAGUCGUAACA
rnacentral:rRNA from 1 species